AACCCCUAUUGCUAGUUACCAUCAUUAAGUUGGGGACUCUAGCGAGACUGCCAGUGAUAAACUGGAGGAAGGUGGGGAUGACGUCAAGUCAUCAUGGCCCUUACGGCCUGGGCUACACACGUGCUACAAUGGUCGGUACAAAGGGUUGCCAAGCCGCGAGGUGGAGCUAAUCCCAUAAAACCGAUCGUAGUCCGGAUCGCAGUCUGCAACUCGACUGCGUGAAGUCGGAAUCGCUAGUAAUCGUGAAUCAGAAUGUCACGGUGAAUACGUUCCCGGGCCUU
rnacentral:rRNA from 1 species